GUUGUUUUCCUCUCCUCUAAGGUGGUGUAAAUCCAAAGCAGCUUCACUGAAGCCUCAGGAAUUAGCAGCAUAGAAACGAAGGACAGGAGAAAGCAUAUGGUACUGAAGAGACAAAAGCUGAUGUACCUCAACAAUGUGACCCAAUGUGCAGUGCUCUGCUGUGCAAAAGGACAAGCUGCUGCCUGUAAUGUCCUUCUCCAAGGAAGUGAACGCCAGCACUUGCUGCCGAUAACCCCCUCGACUGCCAUUGUGACAGUGGCCUGGAAGCAGAGCUCUUGCUGGUACAUGAUACAAUCUGAAGCAAAGCUUUUAUCACGAGCCCUGUGGUUUUUUGAAUGAUCCUUAAAGCCUGCAGCUGCUGGAAGGAAGAGCUGCCUGAGCAUCGCUGCAGUCCCCAUAGGCAGGAAGCAGACACUUCUGGCUCUUAGAGCAGCAGGGACAGUUUGAAGCUUGGUUUUAUGUAUUGGGUGUGGAGAGGAGAAAAAUAAGACUCGUGUUGAGGCAGUGUGUCCUACAUGGCCACAGCUUUAUCUCAGUGCAAGAGAGGCAAAAGAGCAGAUGGCACCUUGGGACUGUUGCUGCUGUCACAUCAUGUACCUCUCCCAGCCCAGGGAUUUGCAGAAACCAACUAAAUGGGUGUUCAUAGAAUCACAGAAUGAAUCAUAGUAUCAUAGAAUCAUAGAAUGGCUUGGGUUGGAAGGGUCCUCAAGGAUCAUUGAGUUCCAACUCUCAGCUGCUAGGUCACUCACUAGAUAAGACUGGCCAGAGCUUCAAAAACUCACCCCAGACACAGACACAUGACUCUGACCUCAGUGUACUUAUUAAGAGAACCAGGUCACCAGCAGGACUGAAAGACUGACCUUGUUGCUAUGGAAUUUUCCAUUGCACACAUUUCAAGGUAGGGACUGGUCUCAUGCAGCAGAUAGUUGCCUAUAGACCAGCUUCCAUGGGAUCCUGGCUGUCUUCUGCACUUGUCCUUGGGAAAUAAUACCAUGAAUGCCCAGUAUACCUGGGAAAACCUGUGCCCUUGCCUUCUGCUUCAUGGAUCUCAGGCCAAAACUGGCAGUGCUCUAACUGUGCUGCUGUGUGUGCUGUCACUCAUUGAGAUCUAUGGUCAAUGAGACUGGGAAGUUCAGGGUCUGUGGUCCUGACAGGUAGGAUGCCUGAUAGCUUUUCAAAGCUUGUAAUCAGUGCUGGAAGUCAUUGCCUUGGUGUUCCUACAUAGAUGGCUGCCCAGGGAAUGAUGCCUCAGGCUGCUCUGUCGCUGCUGCAAUUUGUCUCCUUAGGUCUCUGCUGAAAUGUAGUUGUAGUUGUGGCUGGGUAGCCUAACCCUGGGAGU
rnacentral:lncRNA from 1 species